UUAUUUUGGCAGAAUAGUGCAAUUGAUUUAGAAUCAUUUUAAGUAAUUUUUACAGGUAAUAU
rnacentral:tRNA from 7 species